AUGGCGAAUGCUCUCAACAUCCCGGCCAUGGCCUCGAGUUCCCUCCCGCUCCUCGCCCUCCUGGCCCUGCUGGCCCUGCCAGGGCUCCGGGCGGCCGUGACCCUGCUGGAGUCCGGGGGGGACCUCCAGCCCCCCGGGGGGUCCCUGACUCUGCUCUGCCGCAGCUCUGGGUUCAAUUUUGGGAGCCACGACAUGUUCUGGAUCCGGCAGAGCCCCGGGAAGGCGCUGGAAUACGUCGCAGGGAUCUCGAGUAGUGGUGGUUACACCGACUACUCGCCGUCAGUCAAGGGCUGGUUCAGGAUCUCCAGGGACAACGGGCAGAGCUCGGUGACGCUGACCAUGAACAACCUCAAGGACGAGGAUUCCGGCGCCUAUUUCUGUGCCAAAGAUUCUGUUGGUAGUUCUGUUCUUUAUGGUGGUGCUGCAAUGCCCUUGAUUCAAGCACAGGAGCACGGACAGGAAGGUGCUGCUGUGGGACACAUCUCGGGCUGUUCAUUCUCCACCUUCACUCUCAUUACAAGUUUGGGGCAAUGGAAACAAUCCAAGGGCUCCCGUCCUUGA